AGCAGCCGCGGUAAUUCCAGCUCCAAUAGCGUAUAUUAAAGUUGUUGCAGUUAAAAGCUCGUAGUUGAAUUUCGGGAUCAAUACGUCGGUCGUGCUUCGGUACGUACUGGCGUAAUUGAUUUCUCCCUUCUGACGAACCAUGAUGUCAUUAACUUGGUGUCAUGGGAAAUCAGGACUGUUACUUUGAAAAAUUAGAGUGUUUAAAGCAGGCUCACGCUUGAAUACAUUAGCAUGGAAUAAUGAAAUAGGACGUUCGAUCCUAUUUUGUUGGUU
rnacentral:misc_RNA from 1 species